AGGGAAUCAGAGGAAGACCAGUCCCUCAACGAAGCAGAGGAAGACCAGUCCGAAGAGAUAUAUAUGAGAAGGACUGCUGUAAGAAAUCUUGUCAGAGCAGUUAUCCAACAGAUUGUUGACAAGACAGGAAACAGCCAUUACCCUUUAAUUGAAUAUAAUUAUAUCUGUGAUCGACUCUUUAAGAAACUCUGGGUUGAAACAAAACCCAGAGUUCUGAAAAUGAGCCCAGAAAAGAUUGCACUCCAGGGGACCACCAUCUUUAAAGACCUGAUGAAGGAGUGCAAAAACGUAGAGUACAUCCUCCUUGUCCUGGAGGCAGGGACCCCAAUACUACAAAGAAAUGUCCUGGUAACGAUGGCAAACAGACUACAGCCGCAGUGGAACCCCUUUAAAUCAGUGAGAAAGGCUUUCAGGGAAGUGGUACAAAACCUGCGAGAAAACCUACACAGGCUUAUCAUUUGUAAAUGAGUUACAGCCAAAUGUAAAGCCUGAAACUCAGGAAAAGGACUCAUCCCAGAUGUUUCUCCCAGUUCUCCCAGUUCCCAUCUCCUCUCCCUGCAUGAACAUCAUGGCGUAAACGUUUCCACCUGAGACUCUUUCCAGGUUCCAAGGUGAAGCCAAGGAGUGGCGCAUGCUGUGACUUUCUGCGGCUGCAGCUUAUCCUCUUCACCGUUUUAUUUGUUGGCCGUUCUGAGUUAGCACUUUACAUGAUCGCACCUGAUUGCAACAAGUAGUUAUUCGAGGUUUCUGGAACAAUUUGCGCACUCUUGCCCAAGCAUAGACAUUAAGACAACUUAUUUAGUUCCUCUUUUUCUGACUUUUCUAUGUAAAGCCCAGAGAUGGCUGUCCAUGAGAACUCCUGCAGAUCAGCAGUUUCUGAAGCACCCAGACCAGCAUGACUGGCACCAACACAACAACGCAUUUGACGUCACUUAAAUUCCCAUCUCUUCCCGAUUCUGACGCUAGAGGUGAAAUCACUGUCAUCAUCUUAAUGCCUAAAUGUACAAGGAUGCUGCUAUUUAAUUACUGGAUUUGCAUAUGUCAUUGAACUGGUCUACCUAAUAAAGUGGCCAGUUAAUGUGUGCAUCUAUUUCAUCUGCACAA